rnacentral:rRNA from 1 species
UUAAUAUUCCUGUACUUGGUGUUACUGCGAAGGGGGGACGGAGAAGGCUAUGUUGGCCGGGCGACGGUUGUCCCGGUUUAAGCGUGUAGGCUGGUUUUCCAGGCAAAUCCGGAAAAUCAAGGCUGAGGCGUGAUGACGAGGCACUACGGUGCUGAAGCAACAAAUGCCCUGCUUCCAGGAAAAGCCUCUAAGCAUCAGGUAACAUCAAAUCGUACCCCAAACCGACACAGGUGGUCAGGUAGAGAAUACCAAGGCGCUUGAGAGAACUCGGGUGAAGGAACUAGG